CUUGGAUGUUUAAAGAUAUAAAUUAGGCGCAUUCCACAUUUUUUCCCCUCCUAUUUUCUCGCAUGCUUUUUUUGCAGCUGCUCACUCGUGUUGCCCGGAAUAUUCUAAUCUGGGAAGGAACAGAACGGGAAAUACAGCACACAUACACUUCCAUGUUUCGAGAAAAUAUUAGAGAAGGACGCCCAGUCCGCUCCUAUUUUUCAG
ensembl:ncRNA K03C7.9 ncRNA